UACAGAGGUCUCAAGCGUUGUUCGGAUUCAUUGGGCGUAAAGGGUGCGUAGGCGGCGCGGUAAGUCGGGUGUGAAAUCUCGGAGCUUAACUCCGAAACUGCAUUCGAUACUGCCGUGCUUGAGGACUGGAGAGGAGACUGGAAUUUACGGUGUAGCGGUGAAAUGCGUAGAUAUCGUAAGGAAGACCAGUGGCGAAGGCGGGUCUCUGGACCAACACUGACACUGAUGAGCGAAAGCCAGGGGAGCAAACGGG
rnacentral:rRNA from 1 species